rnacentral:lncRNA from 1 species
GGCUAGGCAAGCACACCCGGCCUGGGCAGGGCAGGCGGCGGGGCCAGGGCAGGCAGUCAAGGUGGGUGUGGUCAAGCGAGUCUGGGGUCCCGACUUCUCCUGGUUCUGCUUGAAUACAGACAGGUUUCUUACGAAGCCCAUGUGGGGCAUCGGAGAAUGAAUUCAGGUUCACAUGCCAUGCGUUGCUCCAAGAAUCUUGAUCGUCGGAUUUUCUAGUCCACAGUAAUUACAGACAGGAGGCUGGCAGAUCAAGACAUUCCACCGUAGUCCAGCAAUGAGACUAACCUCUGGUGUAGAGCUGACAGCAGCAAGCACUAAUGGCUGAUAGCGUUACAUUAUGAGAGAAGACAGAAAACUCUUCAUAAAGAGCAAAAACUAGCCAGAGGCCAUGCACGGUGUCUAAAUAUGCCAGUGCAGACGGGGGUGAAUUGACGUGCCGUGUGCAACUAUAGUUCUGAGAACAUAUCUUAUGUGGGCUAUUUCUUAACAUCGUAGAUAAUUUCGAUUUAGUGUUUUUUGUAGAUACGUCAUCUGUUUUCUUUCCAAGUUAGUUCUGCUGUCUAAAAAUAACCAGAGGGCGUCCCUGUUGUGGCGCAGUGGAAAUGAAUCCAACUGGUAUCCAUGAGGAUGCGGGUUUGAUCCCUGGCCUUGCUCAGUGGGCCGGGGAUCCGGUGUUGCUGUGGCUGCAGUGUAGGUUGGUAGCUGUAGCUCCGAUUCGACACCCAGCCUGGGAACUUCCAUAUGCCGUGGGUGCGGCCCUAAAAAAUAAUAGAAGAAAGCCAGAAAUUCACAUUUAACUCUGAAGUCUGGGUUUUUUUUUUGUGUCUUAGCUUGUUGUUAUUGUUUUGUUUUAUGUGUUUAUUUAUCUUUGGUUGAUUUUCAGUGGGCCAACUUUUGUUUUUUGAUUUUAGGCCUAUGAGGGAUGUGGCUAUAGCCUUGACUGUUUCUUGCAUUUGUAGAACUCAGGGGACCAUCCCUUUUCCUCUCAACAGCACGUGGCACAUUUCCGAGUGUGCAUCACUUGAUUAUCUGUUUCAUUUGAAAACACUUUGAAGCGCUUCCAGUGUAAGAGAAUUGAAUUGUGUUGGUCCAAAACAGUCGCAUGUCUGUUUUACUUGAAACUAAGGGCGAGGACUGUUCCCUGGAAAAACUCGCAGGAUCAUGUCAGGUUGAAAGCAUGGGCCCUUGAGGUUGAUCUGAUUCAAAUCCGGUGUCUCCCAUGGAACAGCCCUGAGAUGGCAGGGAAGACACCUGAUGUGUCCAAGCUCCAGCUCCGUGUGUGGAGCAGGCGUGCUCAUGACGGCGUCUUCCUCAGAGAGCUUUUGGGGGAUUGCAGGACAGUAUACAGGCCAGCACGCAGCACCGUGCCCUGUGUGUAGCUGAGCACUCAUGACUUAUUAUCUUAUUUAGGUGUUUCUUUCAAAGGCUCCCAUAUGCUUAUAUAGACUUAAAUAUAGGUCCUUUAACUCGCAGUCAGAGCACCUGCAGGAAUCCACCACUGUUGCCAAGCCCUGAGCUGGCCCUGGCUUGAGGGGGUCAGGAGGAAGGGACUCACAGUGAUGCCCUUGGACGUGGGGGGUCUGGCCCCCGGGGAGAACUGGGAACAUUGGGGAGAGAUCCGUGGAUGGUGGGGAAAGCGGACAUUCGACCUUGCGCGGUAAAGCGAGAGACCCUGGUUUUUUCUGGAGGAUGAAAAGCAAACUUCAGUUUUCCUUAAAAAUCACUUUUGACCUUCAGUAACCCUGUCUGGAAGCAAUCACCCCCACCCCACCCCUCCUUAGGUCCUACAUAGCUCUAGGCUAACAAUUAUUUGGGUGGAUAUUUCAUUUUUCAUUCUCUGUCAGCCUUACAGUGUGUACACUAUGUUGUGUGUAUUUCUAUCCAAGGAGGAAACAGAAGGCUUCUUGUGUUUAUUGGAUUUGAUGGUUCUUCAGGAAUCUAAAUGGGAAACAGGUGUGGGGUGUGUGCUGCCUUGUCUCCAAAGUCCCCAUAUCUCUGAUCCUUAGGCGGGCGGCAGUGAUGGCCUCUGCUCUCCUGUGCAGUGGAGCUGCGCGCCCUCCGCGGGGUAGACGCUUGGCAGAAAGCAGUUUAUAAAAGACACAUUUUUGGAAAGCCCUGAACAUUCCUUAUAUUCCCCAAGGAAAGGCUAUUUUCAAAUGAUCACUCUUCAUUAGACUUAGCUGAAAAUAUUCAUCACAUAUCAUAAUAAGUGCUUAGAUAGGUUGAAUAUUUCUAAACUUUAAAACGUAGCCUUGGGGGAGUUCCCGUUGUGGUUUAGCGGAUUAAGAAUCCGACUAGUGGAGUUCCUGUCAUGGCUCGGUGGUAACGAACCCAACUAGCAUCCAUGAGGAUGCAGGUUCCAUCCCUGGCCUUGCUCAGUGGGUUAAGGAUCCAGCAUUGCUGUGAGCAGUGGUGUAGGUUACAGAUGCGGCUCCAAUCUGUGUUGCUGUAGCUGUGCCGUAGGCCAGCGGCUACAGCUCCGAUUGGACCCCUAGCCUGGGAACUUCCAUAUGGCGCAAGUGCAGCCCUAAAAAUAAAAAUUAAAAAAAAAAACCCGACUUAGCCUUGACUGUGUUUAGGAUGUGCAGGGAGCACUAAGUAAGCGUGCCCAUCCCUUCCACUUGGCGUGGAGAAGCAACGUAGGUAGGACUGUGUGCGUUUGUGUUUGGGGUGAGCCAGUCUCUCUUUCCCACGGUGUUGCACCUCCCUUGUGGAGUGCAGACACACAGCCCAGGGGCGCAGGGAGCAAGGUCCAGCUGGAGAUAACUGGAGAUGAUGAGAGCAGUGGGACCAAGGGCAGGUGACACAGCAGACCUGGGAGAGUGUCCAGGGAGGCCGGCCGCUGGAAGACACCACAGCCGAGCAGCUCCGGGACCCCCUCUGGGAAAGGCGGGAACAGUGGUGUGAGGGCUCGAGUGGGCGGACGUGUCCAUCGGGGGUCACUGGGAGCGCGCAGUACGAUAGAGCCAUGAGCGGAUGGGCUUGAAGGCGGGCAGGCUGUGGAUUGGUUACUGUCAUGCAACAGGUUUGUAUGUGGCAGUAUCGUCUUUAGAUUCUUCUAGAGGGAGAGGGCCCCUUGGUGGGAGGGAGGUGGUGAACACACUGGGCAAAUUCUUUUUACUCUGCCUCCUUUUCAAAUGAUGGUGCUUUAGCCACGAUCCCUCUCGGGAGCAAGGAGAGAGUGUAUAAUUUUAAUUAAUAGUUUCCUAUUAAUUAAAAAAGUGGGGAAGUGACUUUCACAGAUAACUGGGAUAGAGUGAAAAGUGUUGGAAGAUUGGGGUUCGAAUCUGGCCUCUGACACCUGCCUUCCUCCACCACUGCACCUGAACCUCUUUCUCAUACACCAGGCUGCCUUAACACCUGUCUUGUGAAAACGUGAGGCUAACAGGAGACCUUGUUCAGAGACCGUCCUCGCAUAUGCUCUGGGAAUAGACAGCUCUGUCAGGGCUGUCACCUGUGAUGAGACCGUCAUCACCCAGGUUUUAGUUUGUUUUUAUUUUGGCCACACCCAUGGCCACCCAGGUCUUUUUGAAUGUAGCCAGCACGUCAGCAUGAAACCCAUGCUUUGCACAAUCACGGUUACAAGGACAGAGCAUCUGUGGCCGUGGAAUGCAGGAAGACUUCCAUCCUGGCAAUCUCAAGUAGCGCUAGGGUAUCCUCGGUGUUAAGGACUUAGUAAGAAAUCAUUCAUUUAGCAGAUAGAUACUGAGUAGCAGUGCAAUUUCAGGCAUUUCGUAGAUACUGGUUCUCCUGUAAUGGUAAAAAUGCACAUCCCAACUUGGAGUUUAAGAAAAGUGAAUGUGACCUAAUGCUCAUUCUGUGCCACUGUGGAUGGUGUUAGAAAACAACUUUAAUAGCAGCAGAAUUGGCAAGGAUGAUUACAGUUUCUAACUGCCUGUGUACAUUUGGCUUCAUGUAGUAGCGUUUCAUGCUCUGGGAGCGCCAGGCAUCUGACCAUUGAUUGUCCGGGUGACCAGAUGACCAGUUACAGCAUCUGCCCCAACCCUCUUCUCCCUGAAGCUGUGUGCUGUCCAUGGUUGCCCGUGUGUGGGGCCUGGAUUAGCAUGUAAAUCUCUUCACUCCCUCUUUUUUCUUUUCAAGAGGUUAAUGCUUGUGCCAUGCUUCUCACUUUUUCUGUACUCACUGCUUGUACUUGCGCUAAUUCUGGUAAUAAUCUCUUGUGUAUAUAGAUUCUCUUUAUCUGCUUCUUCGUUCUCUCUGUCCCUUCCAAGGAAAGCAAAGGACAUCCUGCCCAGCCUUUUAGGCAUUGUCGCAAAUAAUCAUUGGGACCCUGUGCAUGACAUUAUAGAUUGACUUUAGAGUUGAUGCAAGGCUGAAUAAGACAUUAGUCCCAUAUUUGCAAAUCUUAGAGUCUCAUAGAGCUGAUGAUUUCUAAACCAAAAGCUGUUGGACAAGGUAGAAAGCAAGUGCCAGAGUGUGAGACUUUUUCUACCGUAUUUUCUGUCUUCAAAUUAAGAAAAUGCGUUGAUAUAGCUGUUCAGGUGUUCUACAUUAUUGUUCGAAAUAGGACAGAAAAAGGACAUGUUUAUGAACGAUAACUGGGAAUAGACAGCUCUGUCAGGACUGUCACCUGUGAUGAGACCAUCAUCGCCCAGGUUUUUGUUUGUUUGUUUUUAUUGUUGAAGGAUAAAGAGUGAGUACACACAUCUUGGUCAUCAGUUUGGCUUUAGGCUUUGUUGACUUAUUUGUUCACCAAUGGAAACCUGAGUAGCCAGGCACUGCCCUCGAGUUAGAAGCUCCGAGUGUCGCAGGAACAGAAGGCAGGAGAGUACCGAAACCAAGUUAUGAGCCCAGGGUGUCUCGGGGGACCCCGUGGGGGCCAUCCAGGUCUGGCGCCCAGGAGGGAUCCAUUUGAAAGAUGGCAUAAGGACGGUUGUCUCAUGCGUUUGGAGGGUGGUUGGAGCUGUGAUUAUAAAGACUAGACGGCUGGGGGCCGAGGGAGCCAGCCUAGAAAGGUCAGAUGAACCUGUUUGGGAGGCUGCGUGUUGUUACGUCUGAUUCCAAGUUUGCUAAGGGCAAAAUGCAAGGGGAAUUGCCUAAUUCUGAGAAAGGGAAUGAUGUAAAUAUAAUGUGAUGCGCUUUUCAGUGUUUUUAUGACUUUAUUCGGUAGGUUAGGAAAGAUUCAAGGCAGGUCACCUAUUAAAGAGUUUUUAGAAAAGCAAGCAAAACAUUUUUCAAGGUUAAUUUGGCUUAUUAACCUUAGAUGUGAAAGAUUUAUAAAAGGCAAAAAUGACAACGCUGCUUCAUAUAACCAAAUCCCAGAAAACCUUGGCUCUGGUUCUAAAAAUCUUGAAAUGAAAUGUUUUCUGGAACAUUAAUUGGAAGACAGCUUGCUAUCACCAAAUUGUUAGUCUGUGGUAGAAACUCAAAACUAACAGAUGCACCCUACAGAUUUUUAAAAUAUGGAAUUAUUUCAGCCAGCUGCCAAACCAUUGAUCUAUAUAACUUUUUAAAACUAUGAAAUAUGCAUAUAAAUCUAUAUAACUGUUCAACUGGGAAAAAGUGUUCCUCUUUGUACAACAUGCUAUAAACAUCUAGAUUUUCGAACUGAGUUUUGCCUUCACGCGACUUAAGCUAUGCAAAUUAGCGCAGGCAUUUACCUAAAAAUAACUUAGAUUAAGUUCAGGUUUUUAAAAAUAGAGUUUAGGUUAUAGUCCUUGGCCGGCAUUAAUUAGUAACCUUGGUCAAGUGUCUGAGCAUGCCUGAGAAAUUUCCAGAUUCCUUUAAGUCCAUAUUUCCAGUUUGGGCCCUUGAGAUUAGUCCAAUACAUGUUAUUGUCAAUAUAUGUUGUCAGGAUACAUUCAAGUAUGUGCCUUAGUUGGUGAAUUUACUGGCGCGAGGGACUCAAGUCAUACCCAAAUGGUCAUAUUUGCUCCUAUAGAGAAGGUGAACAGGGCCUGGGUAAUAAAGAGGGGCCUUUGGGAAUCCACUUCUGGACACAUCUGCUGGUCAACCCAAGUGGGAGUGUUGAGGGGCGCUGUCACACCGACUCCCCGGACGACCGGGUGCAGUGGAGGGAAGCGGCCUCUAGUUUACACGGGCCUGCUACACCCCCGUCCCGAUCCAGCUGGCUAAAGCCUCUUUCAAACCAAACAAAUGGAGUUCCUGUCCUGGCUCAGCCCGUAAGAAACCCGACUAGCAUCCAUGAGGAUGUGGGUUCCAUCCCUGGCCUCACUCAGUGGGUUAAGGAUCCAGCGUUGCUGUGAGCUGUGGUGUAGGUCGCACAUUUGGCUUGGUACUGCGUUGCUGUGGCUGUAGUGUAGGCUGGCAGGUGUAGCUCCGAUACAACCUCUAGCCUGGGAAUUUCCAUAUGCUGCAGGUAUGGCCCUAAAAAAAUAGAAAUGCUAUCUGUCCUAUUUUUAUCGUAAAAGUGCAAUCAUGAAGCCUCUCAAUUUUGCAAAACUUCCUUCUUGUAAUUUUUAAAAGCUGCUCUGCUAAAUGUUAUUAAAGAAGGAAGAGGAAACCUGUUCCAUUAUACAGAUAAAAUUGGGUCUCAAUAUGCAGAUUCUAUAUAUAAUAUUAUUAUUUCUAUUUUAAAAUCAUAUAAGUAAUUCAUCUUGUAGAGGUAAGUAUGAAACAAAUAGAAUCACAUAUAAUCUUAAAUCUGGGCACUUUUUAAUUCCUAAAAAUCUAGAAGAAUUCUGUUUACCAUAUAGAAUAAAACGCUGCAAAGACAAAAACAACUUUUUUUAACCUGACAUGUAAUAACAUAUGUUAUGUCCAUUAUACCUCAGAAAGACAGUUCCCUGGUGGCUUAGUGAGAUAAGGAUCCAGGGUUGUCACUUCUGUGAUUUGGUGACUGCUGUGGCUCAGGUUUAAUCCCUGGCCCAGGAACUUCCAAAUGCCAUGGGCACAG